UGGAAGCGGUUCUGCUGAUUAAUGUUUUCUUCUAGCACAAUAUGAUCAUUGUUUUGAUCUCUUGGAUUCUCCAGAGUUUUGAGUGUCUUUAUCAGCAUGCGAUCUCCGAAAUUUUUCAUUCCAAGCUACAAAUGUCUUUUCUCUACUUUUAUUUACUUUAGAUUUAUUGUUGUUUGAAAUCGCCAAGGAUAGCAAUCCACAUUUAUGAUCGAAACUACUAUAUGAAUUUGCCCUCUGAUCGUGGUGUUUAUAUAUUUUGGUUAUUGGAUUGAGCAUUUAUGCUAGAGUGUCUAACAGUUGCAGAUGUGGUGCUAUGGAGGAGAGAUGUAACGGUACUGCUUGGAUUGCUGGCUGCUUGGUUGGUCCUUGAAAGAUCUGGUUAUAUUCUGCUGUCCUUUGUUUCUAACCUUAUGCUGCUUCUGAUUUCCAUUCUUUUUACGUGGGCAAGGGCUGCUGCAAUUCUUAACAGGAUAAUAUUGACUUCAAGCAUUGUACUGACGAAUAAAAGACGAUAUGUAUUCUCAAAAUGACUGCAAAUAGAUAUAGAGAUCGACGACAUAGACUUCAUAAAUACUGCAAUGAGCUGGAGGCGAAGGGGAUUGAUCCUAUAAUCCAGUCUUAUAAAAAUUGGAUUGGGUCUAGUGAUGAUUGGCGGUGGUUAUGCAAGCAUUUUGGGAGUGAAGCAUUUCAGAGGCGAAUAAGGUGAAUAGGAGUAAGAUUGAUUCUAUUCACAUGAAGUACCACUUUUGCAUAGAGAAUAAAGAGGAUGGUACGUAACUACAUUUGCAAUUAUACUUUGUAAGUUCUUAUUAAAUAUUUAUAUUACUCAUUUUUCUGGGCAUAGCAUGCGAUCAAAAAAAAUCUCGCAGUUCGUCGUCUGAUCGAUCUGAUGAUGCAUCGGUGCCAGAGGCAGUUAGGACAUCGAUGAGCAUGAUGCAAAAUCAAAUUACUUAUUGGAUGAAUCGUAGUCAGACGCUCGAGAGGAUAGUGGCUGUGAUGGUGGGAUGGCUCGGUAUCGAUGCUUCCGAGUUAGCACCUCUACAGUCGCAUGAUGCCGCCUCUGCAUAGCCAUUGCGAAACAUAUCGGGUCAGGGAUCAAUGUCUGAAGGAGGGAACGAGGCCAACAACUUUGAUGAUACAUAAUUUAUAGUUUUUUUAAAUUUUAAAUGGUGUAUAAAUUUAUAUUUUUGUAUAUGACAAC